AGAGUUCUGGGAGAGAACAUAGGCAGGGUUAGGCAUGGGAGAAUGUGUCUGACUCACAACGAAGGAAUGAAGCAUGCCGGGCCUCAUCUCGGACCUGCACACUGCCCCUCAUUAUGUUCAUGAUCGGGUGAGGAUUCUUGUCUCAUGUCUUUCCAAGUCCUUGCAAGGCAGUGUCUCUCUGCUUACAGCAUUCUAUUCCAGCAGGAAAUGGAUAAAGAGUGGCCAGAAGGUGAAAAAGAAGAGAUGGCCCCCUGAAAGGGACAUCCACAUUUAUUUGAGCACCUACCAGUGGAACACCAUCAAUCACAUGGUGGACUCGUUGGGUUCCAAGACAGAUAGGACACCAUGAACAGAUGCUAUGGCUGAGACUGCUGGCCUGGGCAGCACUGUACUUUUUGCUUUUCCUGGAAGGGGAAGAAGAGAACAAUCCACUUUCUGUAUGGUCCUGUCCUUCAUUCGAGUUUAUAACGUUGUUGUGGACAUUGUGCUGACACACCUAAGGGUGGUUUGGAAACAGUUGGCAUGUUUUCUUUAUGUAUUUUUCACCUCUGCCAUCUGUAACUGAGAAAGGGUAUCCUUCCUCCUGCCAGUUCUCCCCAGCUGAAGUCUACACAAUCUUUACCCAGACAUCAGAAACAGCUGUCUCAGGCAGAAGGCGCUUGACUCCAGGUGGGCGCUCAGCAGCAAGGGCAGCAAAGUGCUGGGCACACAGAAGGACAACGUGAUGAAGCGCCAUCACAUGGCUGGUAGCCUGUGGUGAGUCACCGGACUUCUCGACUCCCACCUCACUAGGGUGGAAGGAACAGUAACCACAACGCUCUGCAACUCGGGCUGCGCCCGCAUGAUUGGAAACAAUCUGUGAAAUUGUGGAGUGAACAACCCCGAAGAAAUAGACUUCUAAUUCUAGCCUUUUGGAGAUUAUUAACCCAACUCCCAGAUUCUACAGAUGAGAAAAGGGAGGCCCAGGGAGGUGGAGAAACAUGUGUAGGAUCACAGAGAUGCCUUCAGCUCUCCAAAACAACAGAAAUGAUCAAAGAUGGAGGCAAGAAGACCAGAGAACCCUAAAUGUUUACUGUCUCCAGUGUGUUUGGAAACAGCUUGGACCAGUGUAGAGUGCUGGAACAGAGAGUCAAGAGCAUCAGGUUCGAUUCCCACCCUUACAAACUGCUCAGCCUAUGGAAAUUACUUUAUGUUUCAGGCCUCACUCUUGCCAUCUUUAAAAUGGCGACACAUGUACACACCCCUCCACAGUAAAUACAGAGGUCCUGC
rnacentral:lncRNA from 1 species